AUGGGCGUCCGGCGGUUUCUGAAUCUGUUUGCGGCGAGCCGCCCGGGCUGCAUGUACUCGUUGCGCCGCUUCGAUCUGUCCCGCAACCAGUUCUUCUACACGACACCGGAAGAAGUGACUCUGCAUGGGCGAGUUCUGCCGCGGGUACAAAGAGAUUCUGCAUCAUAUUCAUCCCUGAAAAAGGCCUGCGGCAGGGUCAAGAAGCAGCAAGCCUCAGAGAUCGGGACGAUCCGGUUGCCGGCACGACUCUUCAACACGCGGCCGCCGCCAUACCCGACGCCCAAGUGCGACGAGCUCAGAAUGGAUGCGUUCGCUCUCUCGGAGCGCAGCAUCGUGUUCGCGGACCGCAAGAGGCACGUCUUCACCUACGACGCCGACUCGGACUGCUUCGUGACCAUGCCCGGCCUCCACGCCCCCAAGGAUGAUCCCUUGGCCGUCUCCGUUCCACACCCCGGAGGCGGGGAAGGCAGCCUCUACGUGAUCGAGAGGCUGCUCCGUCCCGGGAAGAGCUUCCAGUUCGAGGCCCUUGUCUCCGGCCAGCACUACAAUGAAUACCAUCCCUGCCGGACCUGGCAGUGUGAGGACCUCCCGCUGCCGCCCCUGGAAGAAGACGUAUACCUCGGCUCUGUCGCGGUGGUGGGCAACGUGAUCUGCAUCUCUGCAGAUCACUUUGGCACCUACUGCUUCGACACGGUGAGCCGCUCCUGGAGCCGUGCCGGUGACUGGGCGCUGCCCUUCUUUGGCACCGCCGAGUAUGUCCCCGAGCUCAACCUCUGGUUUAGCGUCUCCGACCAGGACUACCACUUGCCUUGCGCGGCCGAUCUCUCACCUGUCCUCACCGGGCAGCGGCCGGAGCCGGGCUUGAUUUGGGCGGACAAUUACCAGCCGGAGGAGUGGCAUCAUAGCGGCCAAAAUGGUCAGCCUGGGUUCUGGCAGGUUUUGCAUUAUCAGGUUCCUUGA
rnacentral:rRNA from 1 species